GACUCGGAAUGGCCCCUGACUUGGCAGGCAGCCUCCGUGUGCCAAAAAUAGGCCACGGGCACAGCCGCGCCCAAAAAUCAGCCCCCGAAGGUCGGGGUCCCAAGACCCCCCAGCGGAAAAAUGGCCAAAAAACGGGUGGGCGAUAGCCUUUGUGGGCGGCGUGGGCGAAGUUCGUCCGCGGGACUCGGAAUGGCACCAUACUUGGCGGGCGGCCUCUGUGUGCCAAAAAUAGGCCACAGGCACAGCCGCGCCCAAAAAUCAGCCCCCGAAGGUCGGGGUCCCAAGACCCCCCAGCGGAAAAAUGGCCAAAAAACGGGUGGGCUAUAGCCUUGGUGGGGGGCGUGGGCGAACUUCCUCCGCGGGACUCGGAAUGGCCCCUGACUUGGCGGGCGGCCUCCGUGUGCCAAAAAUAGGCCACGGGCACAGCCGCGCCCAAAAAUCAGCCCCCGAAGGUCGGGGUCCCAAGACCCCCCAGCGGAAAAAUGGCCAAAAAACGGGUGGGCUAUAGCCUCGGUGGGGGGCGUGGGCGAACUUCGUCCGCGGGACUCGAAAUGGCCCCUGAAUUGGCGGGCGGCCUCAUUGUGCCAAAAAUAGGCCACGGGCACAGCCGCGCCCAAAAAUCAGCCCCCGAAGGUCGGGGUCCCAAGACCCCCCAGCGGAAAAAUGGCCAAAAAACGGGUGGGCUAUAGCCUUGGUGGGGGGCGUGGGCUAAGGUCGUCCGCGGGACUCGGAAUGGCACCAUACUUGGCGGGCGGCCUCCGUGUGCCAAAAAUAGGCCACGGGCACAGCCGCGGCCAAAACUCAGCCCCCGAAGGUCGGGGUCCAAAGACCCCCCAGUGGAAAAAUGGCCAAAAACGGGUGGGCUAUAGCCUUGGUGGGGGGCGUGGGCGAACUUCGUCCGCGGGACUCGGAAUGGCCCCUGACUUGGCGGGCGGCCUCCGUGUGCCAAAAAUAGGCCACGGGCACAGCCGCGCCCAAAAAUCAGCCCCCGAAGGUCGGGGUCGCAAGACCCCCACUGGAAAAAUGGCCAAAAAACGGGUGGGCUAUAGCCUUGGUGGGCGGCGUGGGCGAAGUUCGUCCGCGGGACUCGGAAUGGCACCAUACUUGGCGGGCGGCCUCUGUGUGCCAAAAAUAGGCCACGGGCACAGCCGCGCACAAAAAUCAGCCCCCGAAGGUCGGGGUCCCAAGACCCCCCAGUGGAAAAAUGGCCAAAAAACGGGUGGGCUAUAGCCUUGGUGGGGGGCGUGGGCGAACUUCGUCCGCGGGACUCGGAAUGGCCCCUGACCUGGCGGGCGGCCUCCGUGUGCCAAAAAUAGGCN
rnacentral:lncRNA from 1 species